CCGCUGCCGAACGCAAUCGGCAAACAGC
rnacentral:sRNA from 1 species